ensembl:lncRNA
ACAGAGAAGUGAUUUCCUCAGUUUCUGUUACCACAUUAAAUGUUCACCCUGGCUCACUAUCUGAAUGUUUACUGAGUACCAUCUAUGUUCCAGGCACUCGACAUGGGAAUACCCAAAGCUGACCAGGAAUUUGUUCUCAAAGUGCUCACAGGGACCUAGACAAAUGCACAGGAACUUAGAAUCCAACCUGAACCAAACCCAGGAAGGCUUCCUGAAAGAGGCAAUCUCAAAAUGAAGACAAAAUCACAUUUAGAAUGGAUGAAUAAUAAGGUCCUAAUAUAUAGCACAGGGAACUAUAUUCAAUAUCCUGUGAUAAACCAUAAUGGAAAAGAAUGUUAAUAAAA